AAAAAAUAUCAUACCUGGAAUAAAAUUUUUCACCAUUGAUCAACGAAACGGCUGACAUUCCAAGAGUUGGCAUCUAAUGAAAAAACGCAAUCUGUGUGCUUCAAGUUAACAAACUGCACGUGUUGGAGCGGGCACUCAACGCUGUUGUAACAGACAAAGAAUACGACGUGCAAACAUCCAAAUUCGGAGUCAUGCGUAUCUACACUGCUAAUGCUCAAGCGUUUCGAUCAGUUGUUAGAGCGCUAAUCCAACUAGACUGUGAGUUUUAGCAGCACCAACUGCGGGAUGACAAACCUUAUAGACUGGUUGCACAGUAACAUAUAUUGCCCAAGAAAAAUGGACUUGCGCACAUCCGAUCAACGAGGAGGACGAUGAGCAAAUAAAUAACGCGAAGACUAGACAAAAUAUGUUCUACGUUAAUAUCGAACACACAUCAAAUGUAGCCGAAACAGUUAAAAUAACCCAUAUAGAAAUAAAAAGGUUACAGUAAAGAAAGCGGGUCGCAAAAGUGA